rnacentral:pre_miRNA from 12 species
AGAUCCUCUUCAUGUGACCUGUGGGCUUCCCUUUGUCAUCCUAUGCCUGAGAAUAUAUAAGGGGGGCUGGGAAGGCAAAGGGACGUUCAGUUGUCAUCGCCAAC